rnacentral:tRNA from 1 species
AAGAGGUUAGUCUAAACAAGACCAUUAAUUUCGACUUAAUAAAUUGCAAUAAUACCGCAACCUCUUU